AUAUGCAUUAUCCAUUGCGAUUUGAUCUCACCGUCUAAUCGAGCUUAAAGGGAGAACAAAUUCGGGCCAUCGACGUGCACGGGAUCGAUCCUGAGUCAUCCGAUCGCGGGGCACGCGGAUCACCCGUGUGGUAUCCCGCUUGGCACUGACAUCAUCGUGCCUCGCCACACAGCAUGCUCCGGUUCGUCGGGGUUGCUGACUUAGUGAUUCUACGUGGUCCAAUUUUUUUUAUUUGCAGUAUGACCUCCUGUUUCUAAUUUUUCUUUCAAAAACACCUCUUAAACCCAAAUUUUCAUCAUUUUUUUUCAAAAUUAUUU
rnacentral:lncRNA from 1 species